GAUGAACGCUGGCGGCGUGCCUAAUACAUGCAAGUCGAGCGAAUGGAUUAAGAGCUUGCUCUUAUGAAGUUAGCGGCGGACGGGUGAGUAACACGUGGGUAACCUGCCCAUAAGACUGGGAUAACUCCGGGAAACCGGGGCUAAUACCGGAUAACAUUUUGAACCGCAUGGUUCGAAAUUGAAAGGCGGCUUCGGCUGUCACUUAUGGAUGGACCCGCGUCGCAUUAGCUAGUUGGUGAGGUAACGGCUCACCAAGGCAACGAUGCGUAGCCGACCUGGGAGGGUGAGCGGCCACACGGGGACUGGAACACGGCCCAGACUCCUACGGGAGGCAGCAGUAGGGAAUCUUCCGCAAUGGACGAAAGUCUGACGGAGCAACGCCGCGUGAGUGAUGAAGGCUUUCGGGUCGUAAAACUCUGUUGUUAGGGAAGAACAAGUGCGAGUUGAAUAAGCUGGCACCUUGACGGUACCUAACCAGAAAGCCACGGCUAACUACGUGCCAGCCGCCGCCGUAA
rnacentral:rRNA from 1 species